GGGAAAGUUUAGCGGCGGACGGGUGAGUAACACGUAGGCAACCUGCCCUCAAGACUGGGAUAACCUCCGGAAACGGAUGCUAAUACCGGAUAUGCGGUUUCUCCUCCUGGAGAGAUCGGGAAAGACGGAGCAAUCUGUCGCUUGGGGAUGGGCCUGCGGCGCAUUAGCUAGUUGGUGAGGUAACGGCUCACCAAGGCGACGAUGCGUAGCCGACCUGAGAGGGUGAUCGGCCACACUGGGACUGAGACACGGCCCAGACUCCUACGGGAGGCAGCAGUAGGGAAUCUUCCGCAAUGGACGCAAGUCUGACGGAGCAACGCCGCGUGAGUGAGGAAGGCCUUCGGGUCGUAAAGCUCUGUUGCCAGGGAAGAACGGUUGGAAGAGUAGCUGCUUCCGCCAUGACGGUACCUGAGAAGACAGCCACGGCUAACUACGUGCCAGCAGCCGCGCUAAUACGUAUUGGGCGAGCGUUGACCGGAAUUAUUGGACGUAAAGCGCGCGCAGGGGGCUUUGUAAGUCCGGUGUUUGAUCUUGUUGCUCAACCCCAAGUCGCGCGGCAAACUGCAAGGCUUGAGUGCAGAACAGGAAAGUGGAAUUCCACGUGUAGCGGUGAAAUGCGUAUAGAUGUGGAGGAACACCAGUGGCGAAGGCGACUUUCUGGGCUGUAGCUGACGCUGAGGCGCGAAAGCGUGAGGAGGAUACAGCAUUACAUACCCUGGUAGUCCACGCCGUAGACGAUGAAUGCUAAGUGUUAGGGUUUUCGAUACCUUUGGUGCCGAAGUUACACAGUAAACAUUCUACUUGGCCAGUACGCUCGCAACAUGGAACUCAAACGAAUUGCGGCGACUUGCAUAGUGAGACACCCGGCUUAAAAAUAA
rnacentral:rRNA from 1 species